GACGAACGCUGGCGGCGCGCCUAACACAUGCAAGUCGAACGAGCAAAGAGGAGCUUGCUUCUCUGAGCGAGUGGCGAACGGGUGAGUAACGCGUGAGGAACCUGCCUCAAAGAGGGGGACAACAGUUGGAAACGACUGCUAAUACCGCAUAAGCCCACGGGUCGACAUCGACCAGAGGGAAAAGGAGUGAUCCGCUUUGAGAUGGCCUCGCGUCCGAUUAGCUAGUUGGUGAGGUAACGGCCCACCAAGGCGACGAUCGGUAGCCGGACUGAGAGGUUGAACGGCCACAUUGGGACUGAGACACGGCCCAGACUCCUACGGGAGGCAGCAGUGGGGAAUAUUGCACAAUGGGGGAAACCCUGAUGCAGCGACGCCGCGUGGAGGAAGAAGGUCUUCGGAUUGUAAACUCCUGUUGUUGAGGAAGAUAAUGACGGUACUCAACAAGGAAGUGACGGCUAACUACGUGCCAGCAGCCGCGGUAAAACGUAGGUCACAAGCGUUGUCCGGAAUUACUGGGUGUAAAGGGAGCGCAGGCGGGAAGACAAGUUGGAAGUGAAAUCCAUGGGCUCAACCCAUGAUCUGCUUUCAAAACUGUUUUUCUUGAGUAGUGCAGAGGUAGGC
rnacentral:rRNA from 1 species